GGGAUCUCAACAAAAUAAUGGGUCGAACUCUAAAAGAGGGGGUUGUUAACUGUGUCCAUCUCUCUCGUGAUCCUCUUCAGGGUUUAGGGUUUCGAUAGAUAGGAAAGUGCGAAUCUUUAGGCUUCUGCAGCAUUGAAUUGGGUCAUUUAAGAUACAAGCUUUGAGUAUCUUUGCAACUUCCCCGGUGAUCUCUAAACGUACAGCAGCAGCCAGCAGGUUAGAGAGUUUGAAACAAUGUCGGGAUUUCCAGGUUUGAGUUUUCUAGGCCCAAAAAGCAAGAACGCUGUUGUAGCCGGAGGCUUGACAGCAUUUGUUUUUGGGGUGUAUUUCUACACGAUGAAGGCUGUUGGUGGCACAGACGAGCUUCAAAUGGCUAUAGACAAGUUUGAAGACCAGAAACAGGUCGAGACCGACCCCAAGGUUACAGCGAAAGUCUGAUCUUCGGAGGCUUUUGAUAAGUCCAAUAAAACAUGUUCAUCUUUUGUCUUCCCAAGUUCUUACUUUACGAGUUUGGCUCGUUUCUCUGUGUUUGAGUCUUUAAGUCCAAUCUUUGAUACAAUGGUUUAAACAAGAGAAUGUCUAAUUAGGACUUCGUUUUGAUGUUCUUGUCAUUGUUGUCAUAUAAUCUUGUACCUAAACGUUUGUUGGAAGGUUUGGUUAUCCAUAAGAGCUUUAUUAGCCUGGCUAAAAA